rnacentral:rRNA from 1 species
GAUGAACGCUGGCGGCGUGCUUAACACAUGCAAGUCGAACGAAGCACUUUAUUUGAUUUCCUUCGGGACUGAUUAUUUUGUGACUGAGUGGCGGACGGGUGAGUAACGCGUGGGUAACCUGCCUUGUACAGGGGGAUAACAGUUGGAAACGGCUGCUAAUACCGCAUAAGCGCACAGCAUCGCAUGAUGCAGUGUGAAAAACUCCGGUGGUAUAAGAUGGACCCGCGUUGGAUUAGCUAGUUGGUGAGGUAACGGCCCACCAAGGCGACGAUCCAUAGCCGACCUGAGAGGGUGACCGGCCACAUUGGGACUGAGACACGGCCCAAACUCCUACGGGAGGCAGCAGUGGGGAAUAUUGCACAAUGGGCGAAAGCCUGAUGCAGCGACGCCGCGUGAGCGAAGAAGUAUUUCGGUAUGUAAAGCUCUAUCAGCAGGGAAGAUAAUGACGGUACCUGAAUAAGAAGCACCGGCUAAAUACGUG